rnacentral:rRNA from 1 species
GACGAACGCUGGCGGCGUGCUUAACACAUGCAAGUCGAACGGAAAGGCCCUGCUUUUGUGGGGUGCUCGAGUGGCGAACGGGUGAGUAACACGUGAGUAACCUGCCCUUGACUUUGGGAUAACUUCAGGAAACUGGGGCUAAUACCGGAUAGGAGCUCCUGCUGCAUGGUGGGGGUUGGAAAGUUUCGGCGGUUGGGGAUGGACUCGCGGCUUAUCAGCUUGUUGGUGGGGUAGUGGCUUACCAAGGCUUUGACGGGUAGCCGGCCUGAGAGGGUGACCGGCCACAUUGGGACGGAGAUACGGCCCAGACCCCUACGGGGGGAAGGAGUGGGGAAUAUUGCACAAGGGGGGGAAGCCUGAUGCAGAAACGCCGGGUGGGGGAUGACGGCCUUGGGGUUGUAAACCGCUUUCGCCUGGGACGAAGCGUGAGUGACGGUAAUGGGUAAAGAAGCACCGGCUAACUACGU